rnacentral:rRNA from 1 species
GACGAACGCUGGCGGCGUGCCUAAUACAUGCAAGUCGAACGCUGAAGGAGGAGCUUGCUUCUCUGGAUGAGUUGCGAACGGGUGAGUAACGCGUAGGUAACCUGCCUGGUAGCGGGGGAUAACUAUUGGAAACGAUAGCUAAUACCGCAUAAGAUUGACUAUUGCAUGAUAGUCAGUUAAAAGGUGCAAUUGCAUCACUACCAGAUGGACCUGCGUUGUAUUAGCUAGUUGGUGGGGUAACGGCUCACCAAGGCGACGAUACAUAGCCGACCUGAGAGGGUGAUCGGCCACACUGGGACUGAGACACGGCCCAGACUCCUACGGGAGGCAGCAGUAGGGAAUCUUCGGCAAUGGACGGAAGUCUGACCGAGCAACGCCGCGUGAGUGAAGAAGGUUUUCGGAUCGUAAAGCUCUGUUGUAAGAGAAGAACGAGUGUGAGAGUGGAAAGUUCACACUGUGACGGUAGCUUACCAGAAAGGGACGGCUAACUACGUG